UACGUAGGGUGCGAGCGUUAAUCGGAAUUACUGGGCGUAAAGCGUGCGCAGGCGGUUCGUUAUGUCCGAUGUGAAAGCCCCGAGCUCAACUUGGGAAUGGCAUUGGAAACUGGCGGGCUGGAGUGGUGGCAGAGGGGGUGGAAUUCCGACGUGUAGCAGUGAAAUGCGUAGAGAUGUGGAGGAACACCGAUGGCGAAGGCAGCCCCUGGGCCAACACUGACGCUCAGGCACGAAAGCGUGGGGAGCAAACAGG
rnacentral:rRNA from 1 species